rnacentral:rRNA from 1 species
UAGGGAAUAUUGGGCAAUGGACGAGAGUCUGACCCAGCCAUGCCGCGUGCAGGAAGAAGGCUUUCUGAGUCGUAAACUGCUUUUGACAGGGAAGAAUAAGCACUACGUGUAGUGUGAUGACGGUACCUGCAGAAUAAGCACCGGCUAACUCCGUGCCAGCAGCCGCGGUAAUACGGAGGGUGCGAGCGUUGUCCGGAUUUAUUGGGUUUAAAGGGUGCGUAGGCGGCCUUAUAAGUCCGGGGUGAAAGCCCGUUGCUCAACAACGGAACUGCCCUGGAUACUGUGAGGCUUGAGUACAGACGAGGUUGGCGGAAUGGACCGAGUAGCGGUGAAAUGCAUAGAUAC